GACGAACGCUGGCGGCGUGCUUAACACAUGCAAGUCGAACGGACAGGCCCUGCUUUGGUGGGGUGGUCGAGUGGCGAACGGGUGAGUAACACGUGAGUACCCUGCCCUUGACUUAGGGAUAACUUCAGGAAACUGGGGCUAAUACCGGAUAGGAGCUCCUGCUGCAUGGUGGGGGCUGGAAAGUUUCGGCGGUUGGGGAUGGACGCGCGCCUUGUCAGCUCGUUGGUGGGGUAGUGGCUUACCAAGGCUUUGACGGGUAGCCGGGCUGCGAGGGUGACAGGCCACAUCGGGCCUGGAAUGAGGCCCAGACUCGUACGGGAGGGAACAGUGGGGAAUAUUGCACAAUGGGCGGAGCGCUGAUGCAGCAACGCCGCGUGGGGUGAGACAUCCAUCGGGUUGUAAUCCACUUUUGUCUGUGACGAGGCGUGAGUGACGGUAAUGGGUGAAGAAGCCCCGGCUAACUACGUG
rnacentral:rRNA from 1 species